rnacentral:rRNA from 1 species
UACGGGGGGGGCAAGCGUUGUUCGGAAUUACUGGGCGUAAAGGGCUCGUAGGCGGCCAACUAAGUCAGACGUGAAAUCCCCGGGCUUAACCUGGGAACUGCAUUUGUGACUGCAUCGCUGGAGUGCGGAAGAGGGAAGCGGAAUUUCCGGUGUAGCGGUGAAAUGCGUAGAUAUCGGAAGGAACACCAGUGGCGAAAGCGGCUUCCUGGUCCAGCACCGACGUUCAGGCACGAAAGCGUGGGGAGCAAACAGG